rnacentral:tRNA from 1 species
GGCCGAGUAGCUCAGUCGGUUAGAGCAGCGGAAUCAUAAUCCGCGUGUCGGGGGUUCAAGUCCCUCCUCGGCUACCA